UCCCUGAUGGCUCAGUGGCAAAAGAAUCUGCUUGCCAAGGCAGAAGACACAGGUUCAAUCCCUGGUCUGGGGA
rnacentral:tRNA from 1 species